rnacentral:rRNA from 1 species
GACGAACGCUGGCGGCGUGCUUAACACAUGCAAGUCGAACGGAAAGGCCCUGCUUUUGUGGGGUGCUCGAGUGGCGAACGGGUGAGUAACACGUGAGUAACCUGCCCUUGACUUUGGGAUAACUUCAGGAAACUGGGGCUAAUACCGGAUAGGAGCUCCUGCUGCAUGGUGGGGGUUGGAAAGUUUCGGCGGUUGGGGAUGGGCUCGCGGCUUAUCAGCUUGUUGGUGGGGUAGUGGCUUACCAAGGCUUUGACGGGUAGCCGGCCUGAGAGGGUGACCGGCCACAUUGGGACUGGGAUACGGCCCAGACUCCUACGGGAGGCAGCAGUGGGGAAUAUUGCACAAUGGGCGGAAGCCUGAUGCAGCAACGCCGCGUGCGGGAUGACGGCCUUCGGGUUGUAAACCGCUUUCGCCUGUGACGAAGCGUGAGUGACGGUAAUGGGUAAAGAAGCACCGGCUAACUACGUG